CCUCCCUAAACUGGAAAGGCGCGGAGCUUCAAUAACAGUAUCCAACAACAGCCCAGCCCGACCAUCAUAUACAAAAAAUCGCUCUAUGCGAUUACAAAGCUUGCCACCGCACCGCCUACUUUGUUUCAAAACCUCCACUUCUUUUCGCCGGACACUCCGUUUUCACUCCCUUUCUUUCUCUCCCCUAGGGUUUCACUUUCUCUCUCCUCUCCACUUGCAUGCCUUCAGAACUUCUUCAAUGGCGUCUUCUCAGGUAGGAAUUUUGGUUCCGUUGAAUAAGAGCUUGGAGAAGGAAAAAUCGUUGCCGGAAUUUCCGGUUUCUGAAGGUGAUAAUGUGAUAGGACGUAAUAAUAUUCCGGUGACUGAUAAGAGACUCAGUCGAAAACACCUCAUUUUGUCUGCUUCUUCUUCUGAUUGCUAUGCUGCGCUGCGUGUGGAAGGAAUGAAUCCAGUGGUGAUUAAUUCUGGUGAUCAGCGGAAGAUAUUGAAUUCUGGGGAUAAAGCUUCCAUAAAAAACGGCGAUAUUUUGGAGUUGAUUCCAGGAAGUCACUAUUUCAAGUAUCUAACUACAAAUAACCAGAGAGAUUGUGAUGUGUUUAGCAAAGUAAAUGAAGGUGGCAGUGUACAUACAAAUUUUGCAGUUGUUAGAAAAAGAGCACGAGAAAAUUUGAACCCUGGAUCUUCUGAGGAGCACAUGGUGGUACUCUACUAUUCGAAUUCUCACAAAUAUUGCUCACUUUAUUUGUCAGCUUCCAUCCUGUUUGUCACUUUGUGUGGAUGUAGUGUUGAUCGGUUCAAGAUAGGGGUUCAGCAUGGAAGUGGGAGAAAACUAAAAGAAACUCCAAAUAAUGUUAAUUUUGAAUCAAACAAACAAAAUCUUUCAAUCUCUAGGAGCAAGGAGGAGGCACUACGUCACUUUCAUGUAUCCGAUGAUAGAUCAGCUUUAACAUUUCGCCUCAUGAAAGUGCGAGGGCUACCGGAAUGGGCGAAUACCUCUUGUGUUUCUAUAGACACUGUUAUUGAGGGGGAUGUCCUUGUUGCCGUACUUUCAAAUUACAUGGUGGACAUAGACUGGUUGUUAUCUGCUUGUCCAAUGCUUAAGAAAGUUCCUCAGGUGCUGGUGGUUCAUGGAGAAAGUGAUGGUACCGUUGAAUACAUGAAGAGGAACAAGCCUAGCAAUUGGAUUUUACACAAACCACCCUUACCUAUAUCAUAUGGGACACAUCAUUCAAAGGCUAUGCUCCUUCUGUACCCUCGAGGAGUGAGGGUCAUUGUGCAUACAGCAAAUUUGAUUCAUGUUGAUUGGAAUAAUAAAAGCCAAGGCUUGUGGAUGCAAGAUUUUCCUUGGAAAGACCAGAAUGAGGCGAAUAAGGGAUGUCCAUUUGAAACUGACCUUAUUGAUUAUCUGCAGGCUCUGAAGCUGCCCGUUUUUACUGCGAAUUUGCCAGCCCUUGGUAGAGUAACAAUUGAUCCUUUCUUCUUUAAGAAAUUCAACUAUGGAAAUGCAUCGGUCAGAUUGAUUGCAUCUGUUCCAGGAUAUCAUUUGGGCUCUAAUCUGAAGAAGUGGGGUCAUAUGAAGCUACGCUCUAUCCUGGAGCAAUGCACUUUCGAUGAAGAAUUUAAAAGAUCACCUCUGAUUUAUCAGUUCUCGUCUCUUGGUUCACUGGAUGAGAAGUGGAUGACUGAGUUAAGAACAUCAAUGUCAUCUGGCGUGUUAGCUGAUAAAUCGCCUCUAGGUUUGGGAGAACCACUGAUAAUAUGGCCUUCUGUGGAAGAUGUUAGAUGUUCAUUGGAGGGAUAUGCAGCUGGAAAUGCCAUCCCGAGUCCCCUUAAAAAUGUGGAGAAGGGAUUUUUGAAUAAGUACUGGGCUAAGUGGAAGGCUACCCACACAGGCCGCUGCCGUUCGAUGCCCCAUAUUAAGACAUUUGUUCGUUAUAAUGGUCAGAAUCUAGCGUGGUUCUUGCUAACUUCAGCGAACCUCAGCAAAGCUGCUUGGGGAACCCUCCAAAAGAAUAAUUCUCAAUUGAUGAUUCGUUCUUAUGAGCUUGGCGUGCUGUUUUUGCCUUCUGUUGUCAAAAAUGGUUGUGGAUUUUCUUGCACGGGUAACAAGAGCUCUUUAGAGGAUACAAGGGGAUCAACGAGUAAUUGUAGAAAUCGAAAGAUAAAAUUGGUUACUCUGACUUGGCAAGGAAGAGAUAAUGAUGAUGAUUCUGAUUCUGAAAUAGUCUGUCUUCCUGUGCCAUAUGAACUUCCUCCAAAGUUGUACUCCUCUGAAGAUGUUCCAUGGUCUUGGGACCGUAAGUACAUGCAAAAGGAUGUUUAUGGUCAAGUUUGGCCCAGACGUGUCAAGCUUUAUUCUGCUCAAGGUGACUAAUACUUUGUUUGGAUAAGACGUUGGGGAAGGGUUUAGGGUUUAGGGAAAGGGGCCCUUGUUUGGAUAAGAGGUUGGGGAAGGAAUGGGAGGGAGAGAAAUGGAUCCAAUUUCCCUCCCUAUUUAAUGAAUAUCAUCCUUCCAAAAUUUGAGAGAUUUGGAAGGAUAAUGAAGCUCCACGCCUCCAUCUUCUACGUUGCUAUCCAAGCAAAGUCUAUAUCGGCACCGAAUACUCCAAAGGUGGCAUGAAACUGCAUUUAUGCGUGCUCUGACACUGAAUUUAUUGCUGUAGUGAACUAUAAUUAUUCUUGAAGGCUCAGAUGAAUGGCGCAAUAACAGUUACUUGGAUGAGAUAUUCAGGGAAACAAUUUGCAUUUGCAAUUAAUGUUUGCUGAUGAUGUAUACAAGAAUACUUUACAUUCAGGAAAACAAUUUACUUUACAUUCUAUAUUUGCUGAUGAUGUAUACAAUAAUUUCAUUGAAAA